UAAGACAGGUAAUCGCGGCUGCAAAAGCUGAAAAGCUGCAGACGAGGAAAGUCCGGGCUUCACAGGGCAGGAUGCCGGAUAACGUCCGGUGGAGGUGACUCCAAGGAAAGUGCAACAGAAAUGUACCGCCUGAAUUCUAUUCAGGUAAGGGUGGAAGGGCAGUGUAAGAGACUACCGCCCUGCUGGUAACAGCAGGGGCAUAUGUAAACCCCAUUCGAAGCAAGACCGGAUAAAGACAAUGUGGCGGCCCGUCACGUCUUAGGUAGGUCGCUUGAAUCCAUCGGCAACGAUGGAUCUAGAUAGAUGAUUACUCAACGACAUAACCCGGCUUAUCGUUUUGCUUGU
rnacentral:RNase_P_RNA from 1 species